CUUGCACUGGAGCGAUUCUGUUGAAAUUUCGGGGCUCACAAAGUUCACUGCAAUCGUCACACGGCCUCCGUUUGCGAAAGGGGGACGCUUUUCAGACGCAGCGAAGUAACAACGAAGAAGCUUAUUCACGUAGUUGGCCUUUUUGAAGAGACAGUGGAGACUUGAAAAAACGUUGGAGAAGAAUGGAGAUAGAUACAAAUUAUGAAGGCCGUGCGCUUGGAAACAGCUAGAGACACUUCAGUUGAAAGUUUUCUGCAAGCUUUUCGACGCUUCAAUGCAAGAAGAGGGAUGUCCCUAGUCAUCUACAGCGACAAUGGGAAGGCUUUCAAUAAAGCUACCAAAAAUUGA